CUGCCGCGAACAGCUGAUUGUGGGCCGUUUUCUGUUGUUUUGCUAUUAGGAUACAUUGAAGCUAUGUGCAGCUGCCUGUGAAAUUGGUUCAGAAAUGUGUUGCCUAUGGUUUUAAUGAAAAAUCUGUCAAAGGAGCAUCGGUGUCGUUUCACAGUUUUCCUGGAGAUGAAUUGAGGAAGAAGUGGACUCUAUCUGAGGCGGGAAAGUUUUGUGCCAUCCAAGCAUUUCAGAAUUUGUUCUAAACACUUCUCCCAAGAUUGUUUUGACAAGGAAGCUUGUUCCAACUGUUUUUGAAUUUCCGGCACAUUUACAGCCUAAAAGUGCCAAGAGGAAAGCACCUACCGAGAGAAGUCAAAUUAUGUCUCAGCCGCAUGAAAACGCCACCACCUCGCAGCAAUCCACUACCAAGGAUAUUCAUACAGUUGGAAAAAAGUUAAGAUUGGCAUAUCUAGGUGACUUCAAUGAGAAGAACCUGACUUCCCAGCAGAAGUAAGAAGUGCCUUGGUGCUGCAAAGGAAAUAAGAUUAAAAUACCGUAAAAAAACUGAAACUCCUUCGUCAGCGGUGUAAACGAGCCACUGCAAAAAUAGUGAGCCUUCAGGCAGUUAUCUCGCAUCUGCAGGACAAGAAACUGAUGGGUGAUGUUGCUGCAGAUACACUACAUAAAUAUUUGCCACCUGCUGUUGCGGAUCUCAUCCAGCGAUGGAAGAAGGGGCCAACCAGAGAAGCCUAUCCUCCAGAGCAGAAGACGUUUGCUCUGACACUGAAUUUCUACUCGGUAAAUAUGUAGUUCAGCUGUAUUUGCGAAAAAAAAAUGUUAAAAAUCUGAAAAUACUUUUAUUGUAUGCUCUUCAACUUCCUCUUUUCAUUAAAAGCGGCGGAGAUAAGAAAUUCCAAAUACUUUAGGAGAUAUCGCCGUUCUUAUUUUGCUAUACAAGACCUGUGUAAUCAUUCGACCGUCACAGUUUUUUUAUUGCCAUGUGUUUGUGAAUGCCUAAUUAAUGAAAAUGGUCGAUUAGGUCAGGUCAGUUACAUUAUAAAUAGUACUUUGAAAUUAAGCGUACAUAAAAAAUAAUAUGAAUUAAUUUCAAUGGUUUUUUUAGUUUUAAAGUAUUUAUAAUGUAACUGACCUGACCUAACAAACCGGGACAAAGGAUGAACAGAAACAACUCAAGUAAAAAUUUUUUGUUACUUAUUACUUGCGCAACAAUAUCCAAAUAACAAAUAAGACUUUAAAAUUAGAAACGUUAAAAACUCACCCUAAGUUGGAGGCGGUAAUUAAACACUGUUUUAAACAAUAAAUGAACUAAGUAAUAACAUAUUGGUUCAAUUGAAUUCUGGCCUAUCACGAAAAAUCACGUGACAUCAUUAUCCAAUAAAAAAAUAGAUACUCGUAAACAAGAAACAAUGUUGAAUGCCACAUGAAUGCACUGGUAUUGUGAUGAAAUUUAAAAAUUCGAUAUCUCCUAAAGUAUUUGGAAUUUCUUAUCUCCGCCGCUUUUAAUGAAAAGAGGAAGUUGAAGAGCAUAUAAUAAAAAUAUUUUCGGAUUUUUUUACAUUUUUUUCGCAAAUACCGCUCAACUACAUAUUUACCUUCUACUCUCCUAAGGCGUACAAUUAUGUUAGGAAAAUGUUCAUGAAGUGUUUGCCACAUCCUGUUACACUGCAGAAGUGGUAUUCAACUGUUGAUGGAAAGCCAGGCUUCAGUACUGAGGCUUGUACAGCAUUGAAACUGAAGACAGCAGAAAAUGUUACUUGUGGUAAACCUACAUUAUGUUCUUUGAUGUUAGAUGAAAUGGCCAUACGUAAACAUAUAGAAUUUAAUGGUCAGAGUUUCAUUGGAUAUACUGACUUCGGUACAGGGUUGGAUGAUGAUUCCCUACCUGAAGCAAGGGAAGCAUUGGUGUUCAUGGCUGUUGCUCUAAAUGGUAGCUGGAAGAUCCCAGUAGGGUAUUUCUUGAUUGCUGGUCUGCUUGUAUAAUAGUCUACCUCAGCAUGUUAAAAAUAUCAAUAAUAAAAAAUAAUUUGCAAUAGAGUUUAAAAAAAUAGCAGAAGAACUGUUUUUAAAUUCCUUCAAAGAUAUUGAAGACUUUAUAAAAAUAAAAAAUAAUAGUAAAUAUUUUAUAGGGUAAUUUCAAACCCACUUGUAAUUUAUGCUAUUACUAUCUUUAUUGCAUACUAAUUAUGUGUUUAAUGUUCUGUUUCACUUUUAAUUAUACUUUCAGUAGUUUCAUAUGCUGUAAUUAAUAACUUAUAAGUAAAAUGUAAUUGUAUUUUUUUUUGUGAAAUUGUAUAUUUUAUGUUUUUGUUUUUUGUGAUAUUGUAUAUUUUGUGUUUUGUUUUUGUGAAACUUUAUAUAUAUAUAUAUAUAUAUAUAUAUUAUUUUCUAUAUGUACUGGACAUUUAUCAUACCCCAGAAAUGGGGUCAAAGGAUAUGAAAUAAAAAAUAAAAAUAUAAAAUAAAAUGGUAUGACAAUGGCAAGACAAUGCUUGAAGAUUCUUUUUGAUUGUGGCAUAAUUGUAGCAUCAAUGACAUUUGAUGGUGCUGCAUCAAACUUAUCUAUGGCUGAACAUUUUGGAGCCAAGUUUUCAGUACCUGAUAUGAAAACUUGGAUCACAGAUUCUCAUACAGGUAAGCCUAUAAACUUGUCAGGAACUGUUUGGCCAGCAAGGGUAGUUUAGUGGAUGAGAAUGGAAUUAUUCUGUGGAGGUUUAUUGAGGACUUAGAAAAACUUUCAAAGGUCUCAAGGUUUACAUGCGGCAACAAAAUUGGGAAAACGCCACAUAAAUUGGUCUAGCGAAAAGAUGAAAGUGAAGUUAGCUGCACAAACAUUCAGCCAGUGUUGCUGAUGCUUUAAAAUUUUGUAGCCAAGAUUUACAGUUGGUUGAAUUUGAAGGAUCUGAGUCUACCUUCAGAUUUAUAGAAGUUUUCAAUAAUUUAUUAUAUAUUUUGAACAGUCGAAACUUGCUAGCAAAGUGUUACAAAGCACCUCUAUCUGAACAAAACAUUGACAAAGUGAAGGAAUUCUUGGUGUCGCAAAGAAUUAUAUAUUGACAUUAUGUGAAUCAUCAGGUGGGAAACCAAUGCAUUUGAGCAACAGAAAGACAGGUUUCAUUGGAUUCCUUGUAUGUAUUGAAAGUUUAUUGCGUUUGUAUGAUUAUGUGGUAAAAAUAAAACUUGAUGAAAUUUCUGUUGACAUACAAAGUAAGCCAGGACCAUCUGGAGUUAUUUUUCAGUGCAGUAAGGGGUCAUGGGGGCCAUAACAACAAUACCACUGCGAAACAGUUUCAAGCGCCUGCUAGUACACAUACAAAUAGGCACCACCACAUCUUCCAACUGCCAAGCUAUUGAUUUUACCACUAUUUUGAAUGCAAGCAGUGGGAAAAGGAAUAUUAGUGAUCCCUUCCUCAACAUAAACUGUAGUGUUCCUGUUGCUGUGGAAAGUGUUGAACAUGACCACAGCUACAAUACACUAGCGAGUUCUACCAGACUGAGUGAAUAUGUAGAUGAUGUAGUGGGGUACAUUGCUGGCUUUGUUGUCAGGAAGUUGAGAUUAAUUUUGACAAUUUUUUUUAUAUGCAGUUAAUCGGUAACUUUUUAAUGCUUGCAGUAAAAGGAUAUACGAUAUAAUGUAUUGGUUAAUUGAAGUUUUCUGCGUAAAAGAUUACCGAUAAAGAGUAUCAAGUGUUUUUGUAAGAUUUAGAAGUAUUUUCUGGAUGCGUGUUUACAAAAACUGUGUUUUCAACGGUUUUAUAUUGUUUUUUUUUAUUAGCAAUGGGUGUUUGCAUGUGAAGUUUAAAUAGUUCAAAAAUCUGUGUUAGACGUAUUCAGCACACCUAUAGCACGCACACCUAUAGCACGCACGCCUCAGCAAGACGGGAGGAAGACCUAAUUGAUAAUUGAUAUUUAUUGUCAUUAGACACAGGGUGCAAAAUACAUAAUAAUAAUAAUAAUAAUAAUAAUAAUAAUAUAUACACAUUUUUAAGUUUAAAGAAAAACAUCUUAACAAUAAUAUAACUUUACACAAACUUAAGGUCAUUAAAAUUUAAAUUGUUCCAUUCGUCUAGUGAGUAUAAAGGAUUGUAUAUGAGCUAUUGUUCUAAGAUUUGUUUAUACUUAUCAAAAGAUACUGUUCUUCAUACAAGGGUAAUCUAUUAAAAAACUUACACUUACAUUUUUAAAACUCAUAUAUGAUUUACAUAUUUGUUUAUAACUGACAUCAAUUAAAUAUCUAUUUCUGGUAAGAAGGAAACAUAACGAACAGGAUGAGGUGUUAAAUGCAAGAAAAAGAGCUGCACAUGAAAUCAAAUUACUCGAAAUGAAAAAGGAAAAAAUUGCUUGAGAAGAAAAAAGGAGAAUUAUUAGAAA